rnacentral:misc_RNA from 1 species
GUGGCAGUGUUGCACAGCCUUGGGACCUAUGACAUUUAUUUUCGUAUUAUUGUAUCAACAGUACUUCAAGGAACGCUUGGUGGGAUUUGAAGAAGAAAGCAGCUGGCGACAAAAGAAAACAGUAAACUGAUACAUUGUCUGGUUCCAGGCAGUUUAUGAGAAUGUCAAUUGCGUAGUCUCAUCUCAUCUCUCUCCACGAUCAUUAGCCGUCCUCUCUAUUUGAUAUUCCCGUUUACCUCAAUUUCUUUAAGCAAAUGUUCAACCAAGAAUCUCCCCACGUCUCUCUAUUGCCAGGCGUGAUUCUCUUUCCUCUUCCAUCACCAAAUCUCACUUCUCUCUCUCAGCCCCCCCUGCCUGAAAAAAUUGACCAGUUCUGAUCCUAACUAUAUGCACAAUUAAACACAGUUUAAUUAAUUCCUCCUCUUUUGUCUUAUAAUCAUCAAUUCUUUUCAUCAUGUGUCUUUUAGUCAAGUACAAGGUACGUGUUUAAGCCUGCUGACAUGGAAGUUUGCGUAAUAUUUUAGCUCCAUAAUUGCUUCAAUUUAGU